rnacentral:tRNA from 1 species
GGAUUGUGGCUCAGCGGUAGAGCACUUGCCAAGCAUGCAUGAGGCACCAGGUUCGAUCCUUGGCACCA